AUUGAACGCUGGCGGCAGGCUUAACACAUGCAAGUCGAACGAGUGGCGGACGGGUGAGUAAUGCUUGGGAAUCUAGCUUCUGGAGGGGGAUAACUACGGGAAACUGUAGCUAAUACCGCGUACCAUCGGAUGAGCCCAAGUGGGAUUAGGUAGUUGGUGCGGUAAAGGCUCACCAAGUCGACGAUCGCUAGCUGGUCUGAGAGGAUGACCAGCCACACUGGGACUGAUACAUGGCCAAGCCUCCUACGGGAGGCAGGAGUGGGGAAUCUUGCGCCGUGGGAGCAAUCUGGCGCUGCCGAGCCUCGUGUAUGAAGAAUGGGUUCGGGUUGGAGAGUUCUAUCGCUAGAGAGGGGUUGACUACAGAGGAGGCACCGGCUAACUCCGGGCCAGCAGCCGCGGUAAUAC
rnacentral:rRNA from 1 species